rnacentral:piRNA from 1 species
UAGAAUUAGGUUGUCAAUUCCCAUAGAAAA